GAACCCGCAAGGGGGACAGCGGCGAACGGGGUAGGACAACGUAGGUAACGUACCCUCGGGGCGAGGACAGCCACGGGAAACUGUGGGUAAUACUCGAUAAACUUCCCAAUCAUUAUGGAAGGGGAAGCAAUGGGUGUGAUUCCACCUGAGGAGCGGCUUACGCAGUAUCAGCUAGUUGGUGAGGUAACGGCUCACCAAGGCUACGACGCUUAGGGGGUGUGAGAGCAUGGCCCCCACCACUGGCACUGAGACACGGUCCAGACACCUACGGGUGGCAGCAGUCGAGAAUUUUUCUCAAUGGGCGAAAGCCUGAAGGAGCGACGCCGCGUGGGGGAUGAAGGGCUUCGGUCCGUAAACCCCUGUCAUUUGCGAACAAACCUUUUGAUUAAACAGAUCAGAAGCUGAUUGUAGCGAAAGAGGAAGGGACGGCUAACUCUGUGCCAGCAGCCGCGGUAAUACAGAGGUCCCAAGCGUUGUUCGGAUUCACUGGGCGUAAAGGGUGCGUAGGUGGUCAGGCAAGUUUGGUGUGAAAUCUCCGAGCUUAACUCGGAAACGGCACUAAAAACUGCCUGGCUGGAGGGUCGGAAGGGAGGCUGGAAUUCUCGGUGUAGCGGUGAAAUGCGUAGAUAUCGAGAGGAACACCAGUGGCGAAAGCGAGUCUCUGGACGACUCCUGACACUGAGGCACGAAAGCUAGGGGAGCAAACAGGAUUAGAUACCCUGGUAGUCCUAGCUGUAAACGGUGCACAUUUGCCGUGAGAGGAAUCGACCCCUUUCGUGGUGGAGCUAACGC
rnacentral:rRNA from 1 species